rnacentral:sRNA from 1 species
CCCUGCCCCUGAUUGCAGUGGAAAAACUCCAUUAAUUAAAGCUUUGCAACUCUUGUUAGUAAAGAGCGACCAGUGGAAGCUCCUUUACUGACGUAGCGUUGCAGCUUAAAUUAAUGAAGAUUUGUAGCGGAAAGCAGGAUAAGGC